rnacentral:rRNA from 1 species
AGGACGAACGCUGGCGGCGCGCUUAAUACAUGCAAGUCGAGCGAGAACCAGGGCUUCGGCUCUGGGGACAGCGGCGAACGGGUGAGUAACACGUGGGUAAUCAACCCCCGACACCGGGAUAGCCCAGGGAAACUUGGAUUAAUACCGGAUGCUCCGUCUGGCUUUAGGGCCGGCCGGAAAAGGGUAGCUUCGGCCUCCGGUCGGGGACGAGCCCGCGGCGGAUUAGCUUGUUGGUGAGGUAAAGGCUCACCAAGGCGACAAUCCGUAGCUGGUCUGAGAGGACGAUCAGCCACACUGGGACUGAGACACGGCCCAGACUCCUACGGGAGGCAGCAGUAGGGAAUAUUGGACAAUGGGCGCAAGCCUGAUCCAACCAUGCCGCGUGAGUGAUGAAGGCCCUAGGGUUGUAAAGCUCUUUUGUGCGGGAAGAUAAUGACGGUACCGCAAGAAUAAGCCCCGGCUAACUUCGUGCCAGCAGCCGC